AGUUCGACUGCUACUGGAGAAUGGUGUGGAUCCUAAUAUGGGAAAUGAAGAUGGACUAACAGCUUUACAUCAGUCAUGCAUAGAUAACAAUGAAGCCAUGAUGAAGAUACUAGUAGAGAAGGGAGCAGAUGUCAAUGUUACAGAUAGGGAAUUAUGGACACCCCUUCAUGCAGCAUCAACGUGUGGACAUAAACAUCUUGCAUAUUUUCUUAUCCAAAAGUAAGUCCCUCUAGAUUACAGCCUGUCCUCGGGAGCUUUUCAUGAAACAAAUGGUGAUUUUUACUGAUUGUUGUCACAAGCUACUAAGGGUGUGUUCAGUGUCGAUUUUUUAAUUUAAGCAGCAAGAUGAAUCAUGAUUAGAAACUCAAUUCCAAAACACCGAACACAAACACGAACAGCGGUGCAAAGUUCAGUGUCGAAAAUAUAAAGCCGUUUAUAUUUUGAUCGUCUUUAAAUUUCCCGCUUUCGUUAGCGCAGCUCUAGUGCUCAGUUUGACCCAUCGCAAGAAAGGCCAGUUCUGGCACCUGUUUGUGUAGGCUUACACUGCGAGAACGAAUUUAAAGACGUUUCAAAACGCGAUUGUAUUCAAUGUCGCAUUCGCGAUGCUCAAGGUCGUAAAUUCGAGCUGAUCGCGUUUGCAAACGCAUCUUUUUCGACGUUUAAAUUUUCUUCCAAAUCAUGAUUUGAAAGACGUUUUCUUUUACGACCGGGAAGAGUAGACAUUGAAAACUCCCUUUGUUUCUCAUUAUAUCUGUGUUUUUGUAACCACGUUUUCAAUCACGUUUCAUGUUGCCGUUUAAAUAUUGAAACCGACGUUGAACACACCCUAAGAUCCUUGCUUCCGAUUGGCUCAGUGCAAAUAAGUCAGUGAAAAUGACAGACCAUUUGAUUCAUUGAACAUUCUUGACAUUUGCAAACAAUUUGCAGCCACCCAUCUGAACUGGCGUGUCAGUGUUAUGUAUGAGUGAUACAUGUAUGUAUCGAUGAUUCAAUAGUUUAAAAACUUAUUUCCAGAAAAUCACUUCUAAACUUUACCUUAUUUUUCCAAUACUUGAGAAAGUCCAUCUGAGAAAGGAAUUGCUUGAAAAGUACUUGAUGGGAAUGCAGUAAGUCUCUUCUUCAAUGUUGUAUCUUUGUCUUUUCCCUGCAUCAAGAAUUUAUUGUCUUGUUAUUAUUUGACAUUCCAGAAAUACUCAAGAAAAGUUGAAGUGCAAAUUGCAUUGUCUCUUCUUUCAUUUGGAUAUUGGCAGAGUUUCACAAAUUUUUUCCCAGAAAGCUUGAAAGAUUACUUUGUGUCGAAUCAGUAAGUUAAUUAGAAGGAUCUUCGGAUACAGGGACCAAUUUUAUCAUAUUGAUGGAAAGAAAAAGUAGUUCAUGCACUGCAGUAAUAAUGAAUCAAGGUUGAGAGAAAAACUAAAUCACUUAAAGCUAGAUUUAUGACAGAAAUUUCUUCAGUUUUUAAAAUGGCUGCUUUGAAGUUUUAGUGGGUUUCUUGAAGUACGGCAUAUCUUGCACAAACUCUCCAGAGAGCUACAUGUAACAUGUUUCUCCAUGUAAAGUGCAUUGUAUCUAUAGCCAAGUUGAGAUCAGUUUGUCUUUAAUAUACAUGUACUUAGCAUGCAUAAUGACUAAAACACCUUCAUCUGUUUGCAUAAAGGUUUGUUAGGGGCACAUUUUAAGAGCAUUUUAAUUCAAUUUAUUAGUAUGACUCACAGUCGAAAUGGUGCCUCAGUAUAAUGCGAGUGGCAUAAUCUGUUAAUUUAAUACUUUACUAGUUGGGAAUCUUGAGUCUUUGUAGAUUUCUAUACACACAUGCAGAACAAUUAUAUUUGUUUUCAAAAUUCAACUCUAAAUUCUUUCUGUGACUUGUUCAAGUGUCAUCAUACAUGUUUAUCAUUGCUUUGAAGUGAUGGAAAUGAAUGUGACUGCUGAUUUAGGUUUCCAAAAAGUUUUCUUGAUCUACAUGAAAUUAGCUAUGCAAAACUAAUUUUCCAUAAUAGUCUUCAUUCAAAUCAGUUGUUUUCUGCACGAGAUGAAAGUGUCAGAGAUUUUAAAUUAGGUGAUUUAGAUGUUACAAAAUAUAGGAGCAGAUGUUUUGGGUUACUCUUGUGCAUUCUCUUUAAACUCUGGUUUUAAUGUUCAUCACUUCAUGCUUCAGAAAUUCUCGGGUAUUAUCUCACAUGUAGGGCCACGCAGUAUGUGUAGGUUUUAAUAUGUGAAUAGAUGUUGAAUUUGCUAUAUGCCAGAACAAAUGUCCAUUGAAUUUUAUCUCUGCACAUAUUUGUGCAUGCACAAGGGGAUUUUAUGAAACUGAUCAUUCUCGAUUUUAUACUUUACAGAAGCUUUCUUAAGUGCCAUCGACUUUUGGAGAUGGCAAGAUAUUGUAGCUGAACUGUUUUUUUCUCCUGACGAACUGGUUUGUUUUGGUUGCAAUAUACGACCAGUUGGUGUAAAAUCUUUCUUUUUUUGCUUCUGACUCUUUGCUCCUUCUCGGUAACUUAGAUAUCUCCUAGAACCGCACAACCAUGUUGAAGACUGCAUACCGUGUGUGAUUUUCUUGUUAUGCUAGGAAGAUCAUACACAGUACAUGUACUUCACACUUAUUAAGCUAGUCUAUCCAGUAAUUAUACCUCUUUCCAGUAUUUCCAGUAAUGCAGGCAUUCCAGUAUUUUCAGUAUCUCAGUCAUUCCAGUAUAUUCAGUAUCUCAGUCAUUUCAGUAUUUUCAGCAUUCUCAAUAAUUUCAGUAUUCUCAGUAAUUUAAGUAUUUUCAGUACUAUUAUCACUCAUUCCAGUACUUCCAACACUAAUGCACUUCUGUUUUUUUUACCAUGCAUCCUGUUGCUUCGUUAAAACAGCAAAAUACUGACAGGCAUGAAUGCAAAAUAUUAUACAUGUAUUUCUAUAAUUUUACAUGCUUACCUUGUCGCAGAAGGUUCCAACAAAAAUCUUGCAGAAACUUCUCACUGUCAAGCCUAUUGCAAGAUUACAUCUAUUAAGCUUAUCGGUUCAGGAUGCCGCUUGUCAGGCGUAAACUUUGAGCUUAUAUUAAAACCAGUU